rnacentral:rRNA from 1 species
GACGAACGCUGGCGGCGUGCUUAACACAUGCAAGUCGAACGGAAAGGCCCUGCUUUUGUGGGUUGCUCGAGUGUCGAACGGGUUAGUAACCCGUUAGUAACCUGCCCUUGACUUUGGGAUAACUUCAGGAAACUGGUGCUUAUUCCGGCUAGGAGCUCCUGCUGCAUGGUGUGGGUUGGAAAGUUUCGACGGUUCGGGUUGGACGUGCGGCUUCUCAGCUUGUUGGUGGGGUAGUGGCUUACCAAGGCCUUGACGGGUAGCCGUCCUGAGAGGGUGACAGGCCACAUGGGGACUGAGAUACGGGCCAGACUGAUACGGGAGGAAGGGGUGGGGAAUAGUGCACAAUGGGCGGAAGCAGGAUGCAGCAACGCCGCGUGCGGGAUGACGGCUGUAGGGUUGGAAACCGCGUUAGCCUGUGAAGAAGAGUGAGUGACGGUAAUGGGUAAAGAAGCAACGGCUAACUACGUG